rnacentral:rRNA from 1 species
AUGAGCCCCUCUCGGUCACGGUUGAGGCGCGUCCUCAUGAUGCCGGGGUGCACGCAGUUCGCCGUCACGUCCGCGCCCAUCUCCUGGAGGCGGGCGGCGAGCUCCUUGGUGUGCAGCAUGUUGGCGAGCUUGGACACCGCGUAGGCCUGCGUCGCGUCGUAGGGUCUGGACGCGGCGGUGCACCCGAGGCUGGCUGGCGACGAGGAGGAGAAGGAGGCGGUGCCGGCGGACAUGGUGAGGGACUGGAUUGCUUUUUUAAGAAAAACUAGGGACCCGAUUGCAUUUUUAGCCCACUUAUGUGUGGGGUCGGGCAGUCAGAUUCGGGUUUAA